CCUACGGGGGGCAGCAGUGGGGAAUAUUGGACAAUGGGGGGAACCCUGAUCCAGCCAUGCCGCGUGUGUGAAGAAGGCCCUCGGGUUGUAAAGCACUUUCAGUGAGGAAGAACGCCUGGUGGUUAAUACCCAUCAGGAAAGACAUCACUCACAGAAGAAGCACCGGCUAACUCCGUGCCAGCAGCCGCGGUAAUACGGAGGGUGCGAGCGUUAAUCGGAAUUACUGGGCGUAAAGCGCGCGUAGGUGGCUUGAUAAGCCGGUUGUGAAAGCCCCGGGCUCAACCUGGGAACGGCAUCCGGAACUGUCAAGCUAGAGUGCAGGAGAGGAAGGUAGAAUUCCCGGUGUAGCGGUGAAAUGCGUAGAGAUCGGGAGGAAUACCAGUGGCGAAGGCGGCCUUCUGGACUGACACUGACACUGAGGUGGGAAAGCGUGGGUAGCAAACAGGAUUAGAUACCCGAGUAGUC
rnacentral:rRNA from 1 species